AGGUCCAUGCAUCUGACCAUGGAGCCUACAGUAAAGGAGCCCGAACGCCUGCAGGAAAAGUAUUAUAAACGUGGACCCUGAAAGUGAGGAAAGGUUGGGUUCGAAAUGCAGCCACGGGAAGCGCUAGUGCUUCAAAGAGAGGAGAUGGGUUUGCAUUUACACGACAUUCUUGGCUUUUCGUCUUUGCGCGUAUAAACGGGUUUUCUAAAGAUUUUUUUGAUAAAAAUCAGCAUCGUAAGGUGUAGUGACUGAUUGCCCUACAUUAAAUCUAAGCAGUUCAUUUCUGGUAGCAGAGUGCACAAUGGAGAAAUAUCGUUCUUACCCAGGCUACCGAACUGGGCGAGAUGCCAGCAGAGCAAACUGCAAGCGCUUAGGACGACGGCAGCUGUCUGUCUUCAAGGUGCCAAAGAAUAUGCAACAGCGAUGGAGCAAAUUCCUUGGACAGUGUCUCUCUCACACUGAUUUUCUGUGCGAACUUCACUUUUCCAAUGACUAAGAUGGGCGAGUUUCUUAUCGAUCAGCGGUGGUCGAACGGGAUGUUUUCGAGAGCAUGUCGCAGUUGUUUGAAAGCUUAACUGAUCGGAAUGUCGUCUCGAGCAGUAUACCGAGUGUAUGGAAAUCGACUAAUCAUCUGUACAUUCUGUGAUGCAACCAAUUGGUCCAGAUGGACCUUCGGACGCUUUUUGACACCUAAUAUCACUUACAACUCGGAACGGAAAAUUCGUGCCCUCGAUUGUUAUUUCCAAAGUCGAUAUUCGAAAAAAACGUCGUCCAUACGAGGACAAGACGAAAUUCGAGCCCGGAAGCGAGUGGAUCGAAGACAUCAUUAGACAAUACACUUGGAGUCAGAAAGCCGCUUUUCAAUUAGAACAUAUCAUUGAUUGAAUUGGGUUUCAUAGAUUUUCAUAGAAAAACAAAAUGUAAAAAAAAUAUAGUAGCCUCUACUAAUGUGAGUGAACGACAUACAAAAUUUCGAGUCGAAUCGAAAAGGGUGAGAGUCGGAGCCUGGUCGAAUUUGGGUGGAAUGCUCCAUAUAAGUUAUUCACCGAGGAAACAUUAGUUUCAUCGUGUCGGCUAGAAGAACAUUUGAGUUCGUCGGGCCAUCCGGAGUUGGACAAUUUAUGAUAAUGCGGUAAUUGUCGAGGGUCUGCGAUGAAAAUUUCGCUCUCGGAUGACCUUCGAGUUAGGUAAAAAUCGAUUUAUUUCCACACGUAGUUUAUCGCAUUAUUAAUAUUAUUUAUUGUUAAAAAAUGUUUGUUUUACUGACUGAAAAUGUCUAUGUUUCUUAUCUAUACGAAAAAACAUAUUCCUAUUGUGCACUAAAUAAUAAAUAUUCGCACUUUUUGUUGUUUCUUAAUUCGUUUGGAUUUGACGCGUUUUAUCAAUAAAUAUUUCUAGAGCGUAGGUCAACUCGACUUUGAAUUAUGCCCAAAAAUAUUAUCUAGUUAACGGCCACGAAAAAAUCUUGGACUCGACGAAACAGACGCCAAAA
rnacentral:lncRNA from 1 species